GAUGAACGCUGGCGGCGUGCCUAAUACAUGCAAGUCGAGCGAACGGACGAGAAGCUUGCUUCUCUGAUGUUAGCGGCGGACGGGUGAGUAACACGUGGAUAACCUACCUAUAAGACUGGGAUAACUUCGGGAAACCGGAGCUAAUACCGGAUAAUAUUUUGAACCGCAUGGUUCAAAAGUGAAAGACGGUCUUGCUGUCACUUAUAGAUGGAUCCGCGCUGCAUUAGCUAGUUGGUAAGGUAACGGCUUACCAAGGCAACGAUGCAUAGCCGACCUGAGAGGGUGAUCGGCCACACUGGAACUGAGACACGGUCCAGACUCCUACGGGAGGCAGCAGUAGGGAAUCUUCCGCAAUGGACGAAAGCCUGACGGAGCAACGCCGCGUGAGUGAUGAAGGUCUUCGGAUCGUAAAACUCUGUUAUUAGGGAAGAACAUAUGUGUAAGUAACUGUGCACAUCUUGACGGUACCUAAUCAGAAAGCCACGGCUAACUACGUGCCAGCAGCCGCGGUAAUACGUAGGUGGCAAGCGUUAUCCGGAAUUAUUGGGCGUAAAGCGCGCGUAGGCGGUUUUUUAAGUCUGAUGUGAAAGCCCACGGCUCAACCGUGGAGGGUCAUUGGAAACUGGAAAACUUGAGUGCAGAAGAGGAAAGUGGAAUUCCAUGUGUAGCGGUGAAAUGCGCAGAGAUAUGGAGGAACACCAGUGGCGAAGGCGACUUUCUGGUCUGUAACUGACGCUGAUGUGCGAAAGCGUGGGGAUCAAACAGGAUUAGAUACCCUGGUAGUCCACGCCGUAAACGAUGAGUGCUAAGUGUUAGGGGGUUUCCGCCCCUUAGUGCUGCAGCUAACGCAUUAAGCACUCCGCCUGGGGAGUACGACCGCAAGGUUGAAACUCAAAGGAAUUGACGGGGACCCGCACAAGCGGUGGAGCAUGUGGUUUAAUUCGAAGCAACGCGAAGAACCUUACCAAAUCUUGACAUCCUUUGACAACUCUAGAGAUAGAGCUUUCCCCUUCGGGGGACAAAGUGACAGGUGGUGCAUGGUUGUCGUCAGCUCGUGUCGUGAGAUGUUGGGUUAAGUCCCGCAACGAGCGCAACCCUUAAGCUUAGUUGCCAUCAUUAAGUUGGGCACUCUAAGUUGACUGCCGGUGACAAACCGGAGGAAGGUGGGGAUGACGUCAAAUCAUCAUGCCCCUUAUGAUUUGGGCUACACACGUGCUACAAUGGACAAUACAAAGGGCAGCGAAACCGCGAGGUCAAGCAAAUCCCAUAAAGUUGUUCUCAGUUCGGAUUGUAGUCUGCAACUCGACUACAUGAAGCUGGAAUCGCUAGUAAUCGUAGAUCAGCAUGCUACGGUGAAUACGUUCCCGGGUCU
rnacentral:rRNA from 1 species